rnacentral:rRNA from 1 species
GACGAACGCUGGCGGCGUGCUUAACACAUGCAAGUCGAACGGAAAGGCCCUGCUUUUGUGGGGUGCUCGAGUGGCGAACGGGUGAGUAACACGUGAGUAACCUGCCCUUGACUUUGGGAUAACUUCAGGAAACUGGGGCUAAUACCGGAUAGGAGCUCUUGCUGCAUGGUGGGGGUUGGAAAGUUUCGGCGGUUGGGGAUGGACUCGCGGCUUAUCAGCUUGUUGGUGGGGUAGUGGCUUACCAAGGCUUUGACGGGUAGCCGGCCUGAGAGGGUGACCGGCCACAUUGGGACUGAGAUACGGCCCAGACUCCUACGGGAGGCAGCAGUGGGGAAUAUUGCACAAUGGGCGGAAGCCUGAUGCAGCAACGCCGCGUGCGGGAUGACGGCCUUCGGGUUGUAAACCGCUUUCGCCUGUGACGAAGCGUGAGUGACGGUAAUGGGUAAAGAAGCACCGGCUAACUACAU